AACGAACGCUGGCGGCAUGCCUAACACAUGCAAGUCGAACGAGACCUUCGGGUCUAGUGGCGCACGGGUGCGUAACGCGUGGGAAUCUGCCCUUGGGUUCGGAAUAACUCGCCGAAAGGCGUGCUAAUACCGGAUGAUGUCGUAAGACCAAAGAUUUAUCGCCCAGGGAUGAGCCCGCGUAAGAUUAGGUAGUUGGUGAGGUAAAGGCUCACCAAGCCGACGAUCUUUAGCUGGUCUGAGAGGAUGGUCAGUCACACUGGAACUGAGACACGGUCCAG
rnacentral:rRNA from 1 species